AAAUGCGAUACGUGGUGUGAAUUGCAGAAUCCCGUGAACCAUUGAAUCUUUGAACGCAAGUUGCGCCCAAUGCCAUUUUAGAGGUGGAGGGCAUGCCUGCCUGGGUGUCAUGC
rnacentral:rRNA from 1 species